AUUGAACACUAGCGGCAUGCCUAACACAUGCAAGUCGAACGGAGUGGCGAACGGGUGAGUAAUGUAUCGGAACGUGCCCGGUAGCGGGGGAUAACUACGCGAAAGCGUAGCUAAUACCGCAUACUAUCAGAUGGGCCGAGGUCGGAUUAGCUAGUUGGUGGGGUAACGGCCUACCAAGGCGACGAUCCGUAGCUGGUUUGAGAGGAUGACCAGCCACACUGGGACUGAGACACGGUCCAGACUCCUACGGGAGGCAGCAGUGGGGAAUUUUGGACAAUGGGGGAAAGCCUGAUCCAGCCAUGCCGCGUGUGUGAUGAAGGUCUUCGGGUUGUAAAGCACUUUUGGUAGGGAAGCGGUACCUGCAGAAUAAGCACCGGCUAACUACGUGCCAGCAGCCGCGGUAAUAC
rnacentral:rRNA from 1 species